AACAAGGCGAGGACAGAAGAGUGGCCAUUCUCUUCACAGGCCCGCAUGAAUAGCUGGCACUGUUCAGUGCUCUUAAAUGGCUCUCCUCAGUGUCAGGUUUAGGGAUCUCUCUUCAGUGUGACACUGAGAAGGAGUAUUUUCCUUUUGCAGACCUAGAGAUUCCAGCUGAUAAUAUGGCAUUGUCAGAGCUCAUCCCUGCUCUUUGAAUAACUCCAGUGUCCUGGAGGAGUCAGAUGCAGUGCAGAGCGGGCCAUCACUUCUUAAGGCACGGUCAGAAGGAACAGGAAGGCCGUCUGAGCCUUUUCUCGCACACGUUCACACUUAUCCAAUCACUCAUUUGUUCACAUAUGAACUGUGUGACUCAGUCUUUCUCAGAGAAGACGAUCGUUUGGGUUUUGGCUCUGGCUGAAGAGCAGGUAUGAACAUGUGAAAAAGGAAAUGCAACACCUUCUGACAUAAGCUUUAUUACAGCUCCUUUUCAAAUCCACAAUGGCAUGAGUUAAUUAUCAUAGCAGACAUAAUUAAGGUGGGUGUGAUUGUUUAUUUAGCUAUUAUUGUGUUUGAUUAUGUGACAAUUAGAUGGAACUUGUUCCUGUACACUAUUGUUCAAAUGUAUCACAUAGUUUCUGUUAGAUUUCCUGAGUUAUACUGUUAAACAUAAUGAGUUAAUACUGGAAUGUCUUUCAGAAUCUAGUAUUUGUUUCUUUGAUUACGCUGGUACUGUAGCUAAUCCCAUGUUUCUGAAAUUAAACUUGCAGGAACGACGGUCAUUAUUUAUAUAAACAACAGUAGGGGCAUUAUUUUCCACCAACCAUUUAUAUUUUUACAAGGGUUUUACACCAGUUUAAAUAUUCUUUUAUACCAAGACUACUAACUAAAAAGCAGUGGUGACAAAUAAGCUGAAAAACAGUAGUAACUAAUAGUAACAAGUAACUAAUUACUAGUAACUAAUAGUAAUUUAAUGUUAUAUGCUGUCAUAGUAUCCUUUCAAUGAAAAGAAGAGUGAUUACUUAAAUUAGUGAAUCAUUUUCAAACUCAGUUUCGCUAAA
ensembl:lncRNA